UACCAGCACCCCGAGUGGUCGGGACGUUUUAUUGGGCCUAAAGCAUCCGUAGCCGGUUCUACAAGUCUUCCGUUAAAUCCAACUGCUUAACAGGUGGGCUGCGGAAGAUACUAUAGAGCUAGGAGGCGGGAGAGGCAAGCGGUACUCGAUGGGUAGGGGUAAAAUCCGUUGAUCCAUUGAAGACCACCAGUGGCGAAGGCGGCUGCCAGC
rnacentral:rRNA from 1 species